CAGCAGCCGCGGUAAUACCGGCGGCCCUAGUGGCGGCCACUAUUAUUGGGCUUAAAGCGUCCGUAGCCGGGUUGGUUAGUCUCCCGGGAAAUCUGGCCGCUUAACGGUCAGAAUUCCGGGAGAUACUGCCAGCCUAGGGACCGGGAGAGGCCGAGGGUAUUCCCGGAGUAGGGGUGAAAUCCUAUAAUCCCGGGAGGACCACCUGUGGCGAAGGCGCUCGGCUGGAACGGGUCCGACGGUGAGGGACGAAGGCCAGGGGAGCAAACCGGAUUAGAUACCCGGGUAGUCCUGGCUGUAAACGAUGCGGACUUUGUGUCGGACAAGCUAUGAGCUUGUCCGGUGCCGGAGGGAAACCGUUAAGUCCGCCGCCUGGGGAGUACGGCCGCAAGGCUGAAACUUAAAGGAAUUGGCGGG
rnacentral:rRNA from 1 species